GGGCAUAGCUCAGUGGUAGAGUCCGUGCUUAGCAUGCAUGAGGCCCUGGGUUCAACCCCCAAUACCUCCA
rnacentral:tRNA from 1 species